UGUUUCGGCUAGGGGGCCAUCCCGGCUUACCAACCCGAUGCAAACUGCGAAUACCGGAGAAUGUUAUCACGGGAGACACACGGCGGGUGCUAACGUCCGUCGUGAAGAGGGAAACAACCCAGACCGCCAGCUAAGGUCCCAAAGUCAUGGUUAAGUGGGAAACGAUGUGGGAAGGCCCAGACAGCCAGGAUGUUGGCUUAGAAGCAGCCAUCAUUUAAAGAAAGCGUAAUAGCUCACUGGUCGAGUCGGCCUGCGCGGAAGAUGUAACGGGGCUAAACCAUGCACCGAAGCUGCGGCAGCGACACUGUGUGUUGUUGGGUAGGGGAGCGUUCUGUAAGCCUGCGAAGGUGUCCCGUGA
rnacentral:rRNA from 1 species